rnacentral:siRNA from 1 species
AGCGUCCCAAGUAGAGUCAUGCCA